rnacentral:rRNA from 1 species
UCCUACGGGAGGCAGCAGUGGGGAAUUUUCCGCAAUGGGCGCAAGCCUGACGGAGCAAUACCGCGUGAGGGAAGACGGCCUAUGGGUUGUAAACCUCUUUUUUCAGGGAGGAAUAUAUGACGUGUACCUGAAGAAUAAGCAUCGGCUAACUCCGUGCCAGCAGCCGCGGUAAGACGGAGGAUGCAAGUGUUAUCCGGAAUCACUGGGCGUAAAGCGUCUGUAGGUGGUUUAAUAAGUCGGCUGUUAAAUCUUGAGGCUUAACUUCAAAACUGCAGUCGAAACUAUUAGACUAGAGUAUAGUAGGGGUAAAGGGAAUUUCCAGUGGAGCGGUGAAAUGCGUAGAUAUUGGAAAGAACACCGAUGGCGAAGGCACUUUACUGGGCUAUUACUGACACUCAGAGACGAAAGCUAGGGUAGCAAAUGGGAUUAGAUACCCCAGUAGUCCUAGCCGUAAACAAUGGAUACUAGAUGUUGAACAGAUCGACCUGUGCAGUAUUAAAGCUAACGCGUUAAGUAUCCCGCCUGGGAAGUAUGCUCGCAAGAGUGAAACUCA